rnacentral:rRNA from 1 species
UACGUAGGGUGCAAGCGUUGUCCGGAAUUAUUGGGCGUAGAGAGCUUGUAGGCGGUUUGUCGCGUCUGCUGUGAAAUUUCGGGGCUCAACCCCGAACUUGCAGUGGGUACGGGCAGACUAGAGUGUGGUAGGGGAGACUGGAAUUCCUGGUGUAGCGGUGAAAUGCGCAGAUAUCAGGAGGAACACCGAUGGCGAAGGCAGGUCUCUGGGCCAUAACUGACGCUGAGAAGCGGAAAGCAUGGGGAGCGAACAGG